rnacentral:rRNA from 1 species
UGGGGGAUAUUGCACAAUGGGGGGAACCCUGAUGCAGCGACGCCGCGUGAGGGAAGACGGCCUUCGGGUUGUAAACCUCUGAUGCAGGGGACGAAGGAAGUGACGGUACCCUGUGAGGAAGCCACGGCUAACUACGUGCCAGCAGCCGCGGUAAUACGUAGGUGGCGAGCGUUGUCCGGAAUUACUGGGUGUAAAGGGAGCGUAGGCGGGAUAGCAAGUUGAAUGUAUAAACUAUCGGCUCAACUGAUAGAAGCGUUCAAAACUGCCAUUCUUGAGUGAAGUAGAGGCAGGCGGAAUUCCUAGUGUAGCGGUGAAAUGCGUAGAUAUUAGGAGGAACACCAGUGGCGAAGGCGGCCUGCUGGGCUUUAACUGACGCUGAGGCUCGAAAGCGUGGGUAGCAAACAGG